UACGAAGGGGGCUAGCGUUGCUCGGAAUUACUGGGCGUAAAGGGUGCGUAGGCGGGUCUUUAAGGCAGAGGGGAAAUCCUGGAGCUCAACUCCAGAACUGCCUUUGAUACUGAGGAUCUUGAGUUCGGGAGAGGUGAGUGGAACUGCGAGUGUAGAGGUGAAAUUCGUAGAUAUUCGCAAGAACACCAGUGGCGAAGGCGGCUCACUGGCCCGAUACUGACGCUGAGGCACGAAAGCGUGGGGGGCAAACAGG
rnacentral:rRNA from 1 species